GGACAGGUAAAGAACCCUUAUGGACCUCUUUUCCCUAAGUGAAGGGAUGCUUGUAGAAAUGACUAACGACCAUGUCAAGACGUUCCUUACACCCUCUGAAGAUGUUUCCACUUCCUGCUGUGCUUUGUCUCUGUUCCAAAUGGCACCCUAUUCCCUAUCUAGUGCACUACUUUUGACUAGGGCCCUGUUCAAAGUAGUGCACUAAAUAGGGAAUACGGUGUCAUUUGGGACGUAGUUUUAAGGUGACGGGGCCAUUAAUCUACUGGGUUUCAUAAAGCAGUUCAUCUUGUUGUGGAGCUGAGCCAUCCUGAUGACAUCAGUGUGAUGUCACGCAGGCUGGCAGAGAAAUGCCGUGAUAAACAUGUAGUACACUUUAGAUAAAAACAAUAGGUGCUCUGUGAAGAGUUCUUUCUUUCUUCUCUCUCCCUCCUCUCUCACACACACACACCACUCUGAGUCCUGAGAGGAAAGGGAGUAGCUCAUUCAUCACAGAGGGAAUGUAAUCUCCCAGGAACUACAGAGCAGCAGGAACCAUUCCUCCUAGUACCUCUUCCUGUCUGAGCAGACUCCUCCUACACAGCAGACUCCUCCUACACAGCAGACUCCUCAAUGGAAAGACAUUAACAAGGUAUCUGACAUCACUAACAAGGUAUCUGACAUCACACUGUGUCCUGUAAUGGAAAGACAUUAACAAGGUAUCUGACAUCACACUGUGUCCUGUAAUGGAAAUACAUUAACAAGGUAUCUGACAUCACUAACAAGGUAUCUGACAUCACACUGUGUCCUGUAAUGGAAAGACAUUAACAAGGUAUCUGGCAUCACACUGUGUCCUGUAAUGGAAAGACAUUAACAAGGUAUCUGACAUCACACUGUGUCCUGUAAUAGAAAGACAUUAACAAGGUAUCUGGCAUCACACUGUGUCCUGUAAUUGAAAGACAUUAACAAGGUAUCUGGCAUCACACUGUGUCCUGUAAUGGAAAUACAUUAACAAGGUAUCUGACAUCACACUGUGUCCUGUAAUGGAAAGACAUUAACAAGGUAUCUGGCAUCACACUGUGUCCUGUAAUGGAAAGACAUUAACAAGGUAUCUGGCAUCACACUGUGUCCUGUAAUGGAAAGACAUUAACAAGGUAUCUGGCAUCACACUGUGUCCUGUAAUGGAAAGACAUUAACAAGGUAUCUGGCAUCACACUGUGUCCUGUAAUGGAAAGACAUUAACAAGGUGUCUGGCAUCACACUGUGUCCUGUAAUGGAAAGACACCACCAACACCUGAAAUGUGAUUCCCUCUGUUUAGUCCGUCCUACUGC